ACGUGCACACUGCAUGUGCACACGGGCGUGCGCGCUGUAGCUCGUGCGCUGUAGGAACCCAGGUGCUCCGGGCCCUUCACGCACGCCGCCCCACCCACAACUUCAGAAUUCUCCAGUGCGCAGCUGUGUGUCUUUCUCCGUCCACGAGCAAUUAGCGGAGUGCCGGAAAGCACGGUGGCCUGUGGGAAGGGUGCCUUUUCCAAGAAAGGACCUGCGUCAACAUGGAGACCCAGGACCUAGAAGCCUCGUUCUGCAGUAGACUUCUCCAGACCAUCUCUUAUUGGUCAGGAUGUGGUCUUGACCUUCAAAGCAGGUAGUAAGGACAAUAAAUGUUGAAGUUUCAGUGAUGAUUUGCAUCAGGCACCUUCCAAAUGGGUCUAACUACGCUUGAAAACAGCAAGGAACUUCUGGGGGGAUUUAUCUCCUUGCAAGUGGCUACACAAAAUAUCUAAUUAUAUGAAGUAUUGCCAUACCUGAAUCUCAUUAUUGUCCAGAGGCAUUCCUUCAUCAAUCUAUGCUCAUAUUCUUAACCUUGUGAUACAAAACAUUGCUUCACUCUACUUGAAAAGGGUGGAAGGGCUCCGGUAUAGUCAACGUCCUGCCAGUUGUUGUGACAGGUGCUCAAGGAGUGCAGUUCUGGGAAUCAGCAUUGAUUGCUGUUGCUGGCAAGUUGGACACAUUGUAAUAGCACUUUGGAAGUGUGGUAAGUUGAACAAUGUAUAAUCUCCCAUCCCUGACUUCGUGACUACUUCAUUCAUGUAACUAAUAUAUUAGUAUUGAGAUGGUUGAGAUCAUUUGGUUGAGAAAUUUUGUCUUUCUGGUUGCUUUGUAUCUUUUCUGUGGUUGGUAUAUACCCUGGUGGGUGUUAACAUGCAAUGUGAAGACUCCACACUAUGUUGUACUACUGUAUGCCCAUCACAUACCUCAAUUCCAGCUCUUUUUGCCUUAGAUCUUUCAUUUCUCCUCCUUUAAGGACUUUGCCUAGUUUGCUAUGAAUUCACCAAUGUUCAUAAGUAAAUAUUUAAUGGAAGCCUCAGCCACUCAUUUUAUUCAAAGUAGAUAAUCUGGUACACUGCACAAAUCUCUGCCUACAGGGAAGAUUUUCUGUACCACUGCCUUUAAAGGCCAUUCCUGAAUGGGGCUUUAGUUAGCUUUACUGUGGUGGCUUAUUCAUGAACCAAGUUAGAAUUUGUUUUUCUGUUACCUGGUGGUAGGGGGUGUCCUUAGGGACUGUCACUGCACUGAGGAGGUCCUCUUUUGCAGUAUUCGUGAGUGUCCUAGGUAUCUGGACUGCCUGCUCAUACAGUUUGCUUGUGUUCUUCAAUCCUGUUAAUGUUUGAUUCUACAUUUACAUUCCCAUAUUAUGAUGGAAUAUUGUCAGGCCUGCCCAACUGUAUGACUCAGUGAGUCUGAGGAAAUCCAGUUUACGAUGAAUAGUACUUUCCCUGGUAUCCUUUGUGGUGCAUGUCAAGAGUUCUGUCUCUGCCAGUAUCCAGUAACAUGCCAAGGACAAUUUUUCAAUAAGCGCCUAAUUCGCCAUUGCAGAUGGCAUGGCCUUCUCUAGACAUCCAGUGGUCUGCAUUAUAAUUCCACUUACUAUUUCCCCCAGCCAGCCCAUCCCAUUCCAGGAGUUUAAAAUCCCAGUUUACAUUAAUAAGUGUUUGAAAAACCAUUCCACUGUCUUCUGCCAGAGGCUAUCUGUGGUCCAUAUACCACAGAAAAUGGAAUCAUCAUUGCCAGCUGCAGUGAAGAUGAUUCAAGCACAAAAUCCAAUAUUAUCAUUUUCAUUC